UACGUAGGGGGCAAGCGUUGUCCGGAUUUAUUGGGCGUAAAGAGCGUGUAGGCGGCCAAGCAGGUCCGCUGUGAAAACUCGAGGCUCAACCUCGAGAGGUCGGUGGAAACCGUUUGGCUAGAGUCCGGAAGAGGAGAGUGGAAUUCCCGGUGUAGCGGUGAAAUGCGCAGAUAUCGGGAAGAACACCCGUGGCGAAGGCGGCUCUCUGGGACGGUACUGACGCUGAGACGCGAAAGCGUGGGGAGCGAAC
rnacentral:rRNA from 1 species